rnacentral:rRNA from 1 species
GAUGAACGCUGGCGGCGUGCCUAAUACAUGCAAGUCGAGCGAACAGACGAGGCGCUUGCUCCUCUGACGUUAGCGGCGGACGGGUGAGUAACACGUGGAUAACCUACCUAUAAGACUGGGAUAAUUUCGGGACACCGGAGCUAAUCCCGGAUAAUAUAUUGAACCGCAUGGUUCAAUAGUGAAAGUCGGUUUUGCUGUCACUUCUAGAUGGAUCCGCGCCGCAUUAGCUAGUUGGUAAGUUAACGGCUUACCAAGGCAACGAUGCGUAGCCGACGUGAGGGGGUGAUCGGCCACACGAGAACGUAGACACGGUCCAGACUCCUACGGGAGGCAGCAGUAGGGAAUCUUCCGCAAUGGGCGAAAGCUUGACGGAGCAACGCCGAGUGAGUGAUGGAGGUCUUCGGAUCGUAAAACUCUGUUAUUAGGGAAGAACAAAUUUGUAAGUAACUAUGCACGUCUUGACGGUACCUGAUCAGAAAGCCACGGCUAACUACGUG